rnacentral:rRNA from 1 species
UAGGGAAUCUUCGGCAAUGGACGAAAGUCUGACCGAGCAACGCCGCGUGAGUGAAGAAGGUUUUCGGAUCGUAAAACUCUGUUGCUAGAGAAGAACAAGGACGUCAGUAACUGAACGUCCCCUGACGGUAUCUAACCAGAAAGCCACGGCUAACUACGUGCCAGCAGCUGCGGUAAUACGCAGGUGGCAAGCGUUGUCCGGAGUUAUUGGGCGUAAAGCGAGCGCAGGCGGGUUCUUAAGUCUGUUGUGAAAGCCCCCGGCUCAACCGGGGAGGGUCAUUGGAAACUGGGAGACUUGAGUGCAGAAGAGGAGGGUGGAAUUCCAUGUGUAGCGGUGAAAUGCGUAGGUAUAUGGGGGAACACCAGUGGCGAAGGCGGCUCUCUGGUCUGUAACUGGCGCUGAGGCUCGAAAGCGUGGGGAGCAAACAGG